CUCUUAUUUGCAAGCAGAAUAACCAUGCUGUGAGCCCGAGCCCGGGAGGAUGGGGCGCUGCCGCGGGGCCACAGCCUGAGAGCCGGGAGCGGGCACUCGGGAGGGCAGGUUUCGUCCGAGCUUCUGGUCUUCAGUUCAACUCGUGUGUGUCAUGGAUGAAACUGCUUUGUCCCUUGGAACAAUAGAUGUUUCCUAUUUGUCCGCCUCAGCAGAGUGCAGUAUCAGUAGAUGUAAGCAUUCCAGUGAAGAAUGGG
rnacentral:lncRNA from 1 species